UCGCUGCUGCCGUCGAUUUGUAGUUGCUGCGAUUGGAGCCACUAGCGGGGGUGAGUUGCUACUGCCUUGUUGCCGUCCUAAUCAUAUUCAACGUCCACUGCCCUGAGCUGUUUCUGCCCUUCAGUUUGUUGAGUUCGGAUUCCUUGUGCUACUGUAACUGUCAUUACUGAGGUGGGAACCAACGUUUCUGUUUGGCUGCUGCUGAAGGUCUUCCACCAUCACUGGAGCUGCCCAGAAUCAUCGUGGAAGCUGCCAAGAUAUAUGGUUGAUUUCUAAUUAUGCCAAGACAUCAUCACUAAUUAAGUUUUAUGUUGAUUUUUUUUUAUUUUAUUUUAUGUCCUGACUGCAUUAUAACUUGUGAAUUCCAUUUCCUUUUUGAUAUUCAAUGUUUUGACAAACUGCCAUGGUUUAUAAUCUAUUGAUACUUGCCAUUUUCAUGCUUAAUCAGUCUGAUUUAGAGAUAUUUUGGAGCUGACUAAGGCUUUUAACAUGAAAGAGACUGAGGCAAAGGCAUAUAUAUAUUUAAAAUCCUGAUUACUUUCCUUUAAUGCAUCAGCUUGCUCUUUUUAUUUUGUUAUGCUUCUGUUUUGUGUUGCCUCCUUAAUAGUAAAAAAGAUUAAGGAGGCUCUAUUUUGUGUUUUAGUUAAUAGUUUAAGGAUUAAGACAUGAUAUUGACUAAUGAAUAUGAAUGAAUAGUAUUAUCCUAUUGUGCAUUUCACCAAAACUCCUUAUUUAACAGCUAAUAUUAUAUAUAGUUCUACGUUCCUAGUAAUCUUAGUGGAAAGUAAUUAGCUGAAGUUGCUGGUUUUUUGUUGCAAAGUGGUAGUUAAUUACUACACUCACCUAACUAUAUCAGCUUAUAACUCUCGAGAGGUAAAAUAUCUACAUAAAGGUAGUGAUGCUUUAUUUGAAUGUAUUGAUUUUUGUUUAUCUAUAUAAAGACUUGUUUGAGAAGUGCAUGGAGAUUGCUCAGAAGUCUCUUGAUGAUGUACAUGAUGUUGUCCUUGAUAGUUAUUCAGAUGAUUGUUACUAAGAAAGUUAUAGAUUGCCCUUGAUAGUUAUUCAGUGUUGUCCUUGAUUGUCUUAUGGAUUUUGUGCUGGAGUUGUAGAUUUUCUGUUCUUGGUAUUAGAUUUCUUUGUUUUCUCUUUUCAAAUAGGAUAUUGUGAAAAGCUUAUUUUUGGUUUUAUAAUGUAACUGUUUAGGAUGCUGGUUUCAAUCGUAAUUAUUCCAGUGAAGUUUCUUCUCCGGUUGCUGGGCACUUUCCAGGUUAUAUGGACUAUCAAGUAGGAAUGAGACCACAGAUCCCUGUUGAGAGAAAAUGGGCCCUCGGGAUUCAGGUAGAGGAGCGUGGUGUUCCAGUGGAAGAAUUGUUAGAAGCUGAUGAAGUUUUCUGCACUGGAACUGCUGUGGUUAUCAACCCUGUUUUCUCUUUAACCUAUUGGGAUUGUGAUACUGAUUUCUGGUGGCAUGUAUCAAUGAAUUUUUGAAUAAUGAUUUAUUUUUCUGUGUGACAUGUUUGUAUUAAUUCAUCAACACUAAUUCAUCACUAAGUUAUGGAGUUCUAAUUAAUACGAGCUCUUUGUUAUUCACUGCUCUAAUCAGCUGGAGCAGAGGUGCAAGCAUUGGGCGUCAUAGUGAUGAUAACAGACCCUACCUCAAACAGCGGCACUUUGCAGUCAGGAUUCCACUUUCCAUUACUCCUCUCUUUUAUUGAAUUUUAUUUAAUACUGUUGUUGACAAUUUUGGUUCAUCAAAGGUGGUGUGCUAUUUAAAUAAUUAUGGCAAGGAUUUCAAUGGUGGACUCUUUCGUUUCCGGGAUGGCCAGCCAAUGUCAAUUAUGCCAAUGGCUGGAGAUGUUCUGAUGUAUACUGCUGACCAGCGAAACAUUCAUUUUGUUGAUGAGGUCUAGCUAAAGGUGUUGCUGUUGGAAUAUCUAUAGCUGGAACAAGUGGGGUUCUGCCAUUAUUAAUUUGUGCUUGUGUUAGAUAUUUCCAGAAGAAGGAAAAAGAAAAAAUUAAAUUGCCAACAGAAGAUUUUAUAUCAAGUUCAACCCAAGAUGCAUCUAGCAGUGGUGAAUAUGAAACUUUAGGAUCCACAGCUGCUAGUGCUUCUGGCCUUCCAGCAAUUAUGGCGGCAAAAUCGAUGGAAUUCUCUUAUCAAGAACUAGCCGAGGCUACAAAUAACUUCAGCUCUGAUAACAAAAUUGGUCAGGGUAGAUUUGCAGCAGUCUAUUUUGCAGAAUUGAGAGGCCAAGUAAAAGCAAGCCAAUUAUAUCUUUAAUAAUGUUAUAUAAUCUUCCAGAAUUAAAAGGAAAAUAAAUUAUCUUUGACCAUUAGUAGCUUAUCUGCAUAAUUUUAUUGAUAGUUAAAGAUAGUAAAAAUGGUAGUUAGGCAUUUGGCAAACGAAUAAAAUUGAUGAGACGUGGCAAGGGACCACAUACAUAUACAUAAUAAAUAUAAUAAUAAUAAUACUAAUAAUGCUACAAGAUUAGUGGUUCUAUCUAUAUAUGAUUUUGCAAACCCUUUGAUGAAAAUUUCAAUGCUAGUUGGUGAAGAUCAACACAAAAAGUCCACAAAACAACAAAGAGGUGGUGGAGCCAUGAAGGUAUUAAUAUGUCAGCAUGAAAGGUAGCUCUAAAUUAUAAAAUGUUCUUCUAUUGUUGUGUUCUGUUCUAACCAAAAUUCACAUAUCAGAAACCCGUGAGCAUCACAGUGUAACUCUCACAAGUUUUCAUAACAGUGAGUUCCAUAUAGGAAUAAUAACAAGCAAAGAUUUUUGUAUAUAAAUCCAAGGCUAUAAUCUGCAGCUUUUGGAGUGUUUAGCAAAGUUGAAAUUAAAGAUAUCAUAUAUCUCUUGAUGAGUAAGCUUCUAUAAUAUGAUUUUUUUAAGAAUGUUAUGUACCAAACUUAAUCAUCAGCUUUUAAUUCUGGAUGGUUUCAUUUUGCAGGAUAUUAGGAAGAGUUAAUUAUCUUAUGGAGAUUUCAUCUGAAUUGGUAAUAACAUAUUCAUAUCUAUAGUUUAGCACAUGUAUAUUAUCAAAAUCAAUUAUGAAAUUUUUUGCAUUAUUGUAUAUUAUGUAUAUGCAAGGUAUAAUGGAGGAUCCUAAUAGCUUUCUCUGGCACUUAAGCUCUAUUGAUACUUGUGCCUAACUACCAUUUUAACCAUUUAGUUCUUUAUCUCACACUGUUCCUGUUUAUAUCCACCGUGAUGUGAAACCUGCUAACAUAUUAAUAUAUAAAUACUUCCGUGAAAAGGUUAGUUUAUUGUAAUAUUCUUGGUAAUAAUCAUUAUUUUCCAAUUUUUGUUUUCUUUUUUCUGAUGAGACUAAUAUUAAAACUGUCUAAUAAGGUUUUGGAAAUUCACCAGGUUGCAAAUUUUGGGCUAACUAAACUUAGGGAAGUUGGAAGCUUUUUAUCACUUCAUACUCGUCUUGUGGGAACAUUUGGAUACAUGCCUCCAGUGUAAGAACUUAGUUGUUAAUUGUCUUAGAACAUAACAGUAAGUAUUAGAAAAUAUAAAAUAAGUCAACGAAAGUUGUGGUUGAUACAAUUUAUAGAUUCUGAAUGUCUAAGAACUUGGUUUGACAUGACUGAAUUUAUAGAUUCUUGGGUUGGGCAUAAUGUCAGAUGUGAGUGUUAUCUCUACUUUAGUGACAUCUUUUUUCCAUUCUUGAUUCAAAAUGAUAUCUUCCUUUGAUUUUGGUCAUCUCUGCUUUGUAUAUUAUUGAUAUUUUGCACCCAAUUUAAUGUUAUCUCUACUUUAGCGGAUCAAAAUGCUUCAACCAGCUAAAGGUUGUUAUGGGCGCAGCACCAACAAUACUUCUGGCAAUCAAAUCAGAAGAAAACAAGCUACAAGAAGUCAUGGUUGGAUUAGCAGCAAAUGUUUUCACAUUCAUGUCCUCUCAGGAAUCAAGCUAUGUAUUUCAAGAAGCCGGAAUCAUUGAAGUUAACUGGCAAGUAUACUAGUACAUAUUCUCAAGAAGCACAAGUAUCCGGCAACAAAGGUGCUGAGGAUAAGGAGGUUUGCCAUAGAGUUUGCGAUUUGGAUGAUGAAAGACAAAGCAGAAAACAUAGAUACCUUCAAGCAUAUGGGAAUGGAGAAGGUGCUGGAAGGUGUAUUAGAAAUCACAUCAGAGCUUGAAAGCUUCAAUGUUUUCUCUGGUACUGUUGGAUUGAACAGGCACAAUCUAACAAUUCACUCACUGGUUGAGACAGCCUUCAAGUUGCUGGAAAAUAGGUGAAGUAAUACAUCACUUUUGAACCAUAUUGUAAAAUCAGUAAUCCAUGUUAACGUUGAGCAAAAAUUGUAAAUUUGUAACACUGUACACUGUUGUUUGUUUUGUGUAAAUGUGUAUUAUGCCACAUUAAUUUUGAUUUUGGUUUUGGUUUUUGGUUCUGAUGGUUAUUUAUUUAUUUUUCCCUCUAGAUUUUGAUUCUUCAGUCGAAGAAUCAAGGCUUUAUUGAUUUAUAUCAAUAAGAACC